rnacentral:lncRNA from 1 species
GAUGCCGAUGAAGAUGACGACACACCAAAGAAUUCAUCUGCGAAACUAAGCAUGAUCUCUGGUCAUGCAAGAGAGAUUGAAAUCGAGGCUAAGGUAAAUAGUUUCAGAAUUUUAUACACUAAAUCCGUUAUCAAAAAUAUUACUUGGAUAACUUUUUGAGUAACUGCUAUUUUUAACUCUAACAAUACACCUCUAUAUAUGUACAAGUUAGAUGCAUUAUAUGAGGCGAUUGAAGAUCCGCAAUUGUUUUGUCUGACGAGGAUGAAAGACGUUAAGAUGGAGAAU